AGAGUUUGAUCCUGGCUCAGAAUGAACGCUGGCGGCAUGCCUAACACAUGCAAGUCGAACGAAGGCUUCGGCCUUAGUGGCGCACGGGUGCGUAACGCGUGGGAAUCUGCCCUUGGGUUCGGAAUAACAGUUAGAAAUGACUGCUAAUACCGGAUGAUGUCGUAAGACCAAAGAUUUAUCGCCCAAGGAUGAGCCCGCGUAGGAUUAGCUAGUUGGUGAGGUAAAAGCUCACCAAGGCGACGAUCCUUAGCUGGUCUGAGAGGAUGAUCAGCCACACUGGGACUGAGACACGGCCCAGACUCCUACGGGAGGCAGCAGUGGGAAUAUUGGACAAUGGGCGAAAGCCUGAUCCAGCAAUGCCGCGUGAGUGAUGAAGGCCUUAGGGUUGUAAAGCUCUUUUACCCGGGAUGAUAAUGACAGUACCGGGAGAAUAAGCUCCGGCUAACUUCGUGCCAGCAGCCGCGGUUAAUACGUAGGGCGCAAGCGUUAUCCGGGAAUUAUUGGGCGUAGAGAGCUCGUAGGCGGUUUGUCGCGUCUGCCGUGAAAGUCCGGGGCUUAACUCCGGAUCUGCGGUGGGUACGGGCAGGCUAGAGUGCAGUAGGGGAGACUGGAAUUCCUGGUGUAGCGGUGAAAUGCGCAGAUAUCAGGAGGAACACCGAUGGCGAAGGCAGGUCUCUGGGCUGUAACUGACGCUGAGGAGCGAAAGCAUGGGUAGCGAACAGGAUUAGAUACCCUGGUAGUCCAUGCCGUAAACGUUGGGCACUAGGUGUGGGGGACAUUCCACGUUUUCCGCGCCGUAGCUAACGCAUUAAGUGCCCCGCCUGGGGAGUACGGCCGCAAGGCUAAAACUCAAAGGAAUUGACGGGGGCCCGCACAAGCGGCGGAGCAUGCGGAUUAAUUCGAUGCAACGCGAAGAACCUUACCAAGGCUUGACAUGGACUAGAUCGCCGCAGAGAUGUGGUUUCCCUUCGGGGCUGGUUCACAGGUGGUGCAUGGGUUGUCGUCAGCUCGUGUCGUGAGAUGUUGGGUUAAGUCCCGCAACGAGCGCAACCCUCGUUCUAUGUUGCCAGCACGUUAUGGUGGGGACUCAUAGGAGACUGCCGGGGUCAACUCGGAGGAAGGUGGGGACGACGUCAAAUCAUCAUGCCCCUUAUGUCUUGGGCUUCACGCAUGCUACAAUGGCCGGUACAAAGGGUUGCGAUACUGUGAGGUGGAGCUAAUCCCAAAAAGCCGGUCUCAGUUCGGAUUGGGGUCUGCAACUCGACCCCAUGAAGUUGGAGUCGCUAGUAAUCGCAGAUCAGCAACGCUGCGGUGAAUACGUUCCCGGGCCUUGUACACACCGCCCGUCACACCAUGGGAGUGGGUUGCAAAAGAAGUAGGUAGCUUAACCUUCGGGAGGGCGCUUACCACUUUGUGAUUCAUGACUGGGGUGAAGUCGUAACAAGGUAACCGUA
rnacentral:rRNA from 1 species